rnacentral:rRNA from 1 species
AGCUAAUACCGCAUAACGUCGCAAGACCAAAGAGGGGGACCUUCGGGCCUCUUGCCAUCGGAUGUGCCCAGAUGGGAUUAGCUAGUAGGUGGGGUAACGGCUCACCUAGGCGACGAUCCCUAGCUGGUCUGAGAGGAUGACCAGCCACACUGGAACUGAGACACGGUCCAGACUCCUACGGGAGGCAGCAGUGGGGAAUAUUGCACAAUGGGCGCAAGCCUGAUGCAGCCAUGCCGCGUGUAUGAAGAAGGCCUUCGGGUUGUAAAGUACUUUCAGCGGGGAGGAAGGGAGUAAAGUUAAUACCUUUGCUCAUUGACGUUACCCGCAGAAGAAGCACCGGCUAACUCCGUGCCAGCAGCCGCGGUAAUACGGAGGGUGCAAGCGUUAAUCGGAAUUACUGGGCGUAAAGCGCACGCAGGCGGUUUGUUAAGUCAGAUGUGAAAUCCCCGGGCUCAACCUGGGAACUGCAUCUGAUACUGGCAAGC